rnacentral:rRNA from 1 species
UACGGAGGGUGCGAGCGUUGUCCGGAAUCACUGGGCGUAAAGGGCGCGUAGGCGGCUCGUGAAGUCAGUGGCGAAAGCCCAGGGCUCAACUCUGGGUCGGCCACUGAUACUCGCGAGCUCGAGUUUGGUAGAGGCAGAUGGAAUUCCGGGUGUAGCGGUGGAAUGCGUAGAGGAUCCGGAAGAACACCGGUGGCGAAGGCGGUCUGCUGG